rnacentral:rRNA from 1 species
GAUAAACGCUAGCGGCAAGCUUCAUACAUGCAAGUCGAGGGGCAGCAGCAUACUUCGGUAUGGCUGGCGACCGGCGAACGGGUGCGUAACACGUACGUAAUUUACCUUGUACAAGGGAAUAGCUUUUAGAAAUGAAAAUUAAUACCCUAUAUUAUCUUUUUAUCGCAUGAUAAAAAGAUGAAAGCUCAAGCGGUACAAGAUAAGCGUGCGUCCUAUUAGCUAAAUGUUGGUGAGGUAAUGGCUCACCAAGGCAACGAUAGGUAGGGGGUCUGAGAGGAUUAUCCCCCACACUGGCACUGAGAUACGGGCCAGACUUCUACGGAAGGCAGCAGUAAGGAAUCUUGGGCAAUGGGCGCAAGCCUGACCCAGCUAUGCCGCGUGCAGGAAGAAAGUUCCAUUGGAAUUGUAAACUGCUUUUAUAUAGAAUAAAUAAGUCUCUGCGGAGACCUAUGAUAGUACUAUAAGAAUAAGCACCGGCUAACUCCG